rnacentral:rRNA from 1 species
UACGUAGGGGGCGAGCGUUGUCCGGAAUCAUUGGGCGUAAAGAGCUCGUAGGCGGCUCAGUAAGUCGGCUGUGAAAUACCGGAGCUCAACUCCGGAACUGCAGUCGAUACUGCUGUGGCUAGAGUCCGGUAGAGGAGAGUGGAAUUCCCGGUGUAGCGGUGGAAUGCGCAGAUAUCGGGAGGAACACCAGUAGCGAAGGCGGCUCUCUGGGCCGGUACUGACGCUGAGGAGCGAAAGCGUGGGGAGCAAACAGG